AGCAUAUCAAUAAGCGGAGGAAAAGAAACCAACAGGGAUUGCCUCAGUAACGGCGAGUGAAGCGGCAACAGCUCAAAUUUGAAAUCUGGCCCUAGGCCCGAGUUGUAAUUUGCAGAGGAUGCUUUUGGUGCGGUGCCUUCCAAGUUCCCUAGAACGGGACGCCAGAGAGGGUGAGAGCCCCGUACAGUUGGACACCAAGCCUUUGUAAAGCUCCUUCGACGAGUCGAGUAGUUUGGGAAUGCUGCUCAAAAUGGGAGGUAUAUUUCUUCUAAAGCUAAAUACCGGCCAGAGACCGAUAGCGCACAAGUAGAGUGAUCGAAAGAUGAAAAGCACUUUGAAAAGAGGGUUAAACAGCACGUGAAAUUGUUAAAAGGGAAGCGCUUGUGACCAGACUUGCGUCCGGUGAAUCACCCAGCUCUCGCGGCUGGGGCACUUCGCCGGCUCAGGCCAGCAUCAGCUCGCUGUCGGGGACAAAAGCUUCAGGAACGUAGCUCUCUUCGGGGAGUGUUAUAGCCUGUUGCACAAUACCCUUCGGCGGGCUGAGGUACGCGCUCCGCAAGGAUGCUGGCAUAAUGGUCAUCAGCGACCCGUCUUGAAACACGGACCAAGGAGUCAACCUUAUGUGCGAGUGUUCGGGUGUCAAACCCCUACGCGUAAUGAAAGUGAACGCAGGUGAGAGCUUCGGCGCAUCAUCGACCGAUCCUGAUGUUCUCGGAUGGAUUUGAGUAAGAGCAUAUAGGGUUGGACCCGAAAGAAGGUGAACUAUGCGUGUAUAGGGUGAAGCCAGAGGAAACUCUGGUGGAGGCUCGCAGCGGUUCUGACGUGCAAAUCGAUCGUCAAAUAUGCGCAUGGGGGGCGAAAGACUAAUCGAACCUUCUAGUAGCUGGUUUCCGCCGA
rnacentral:rRNA from 1 species